AUCCGGAUGGUGCGAGCGUUGUUCGGAAUUACUGGGCGUAAAGGGCGCGUAGGCGGCGAUGUAAGUCAAAUGUGAAAGUCCUCGGCUUAACCGGGGAAGUGCAUCUGAAACUGCAUUGCUUGAGUAUGGGAGAGGAAAGUGGAAUUCCCGGUGUAGAGGUGAAAUUCGUAGAGAUCGGGAGGAAUACCGGUGGCGAAGGCGACUUUCUGGACCAAUACUGACGCUGAGGCGCGAAAGCGAGGGGAGCAAACAGGAUUAGAAACCCGAGUAGUCC
rnacentral:rRNA from 1 species